ensembl:lncRNA
GGGGAAGUGGGAGUGAUUAGGGAAAGGAAAGAAGGGAAUGGAAUUAAUAUGAAAAAAUGAAAACAAAGUCUUUGCAAAUAGGGAAAUAAUUCUUGGUGGCGAAAGAGUUAAGAUUCUGGCUUUUGUCUGUAUGUUUGUUGUUUUGUUUUCUUAUCUAUUUUUCACUCCUUUUUUAUGUUCUGGAUUAACCUGAAUUGAGAGCAUAAAAAUUGUUUUGAAUAGGGGCAACAUUUUUUACCUGUAUGCCUGUGUAGGGUUGUUUGUAGACCUUUUGUUGUCAAUGUCUCUGACUGUGAUGAGUGUCCAGGUGCUCUUUUUUUUCCGACGGCUGUUAUUUGGAGUCCAGAAUUUCUCCUAUAAGCAUGUAAAUACUGCAAGUCCCCAAGAAUACCUACUGAUGGUAUCUUAAUAAUUCAUCUUUAGUGCUUGCUUUUUAGAAAUGUCCCUCCAGAUGAAGGAAGCACAAGAAAGUACCUCUUGUUGGUGGAACCAUGAGAAGACCGAUCAAGGGCAGGUGAAGAUUGUACGCUUCCAACAGGAAAGACUACAAACCUGGUCAAUGGUUGAGGGACCUUGACACCAAACUUUCUCAUGUCAAAUAUGUGACUGAAAGGACACGUUGAAGAUGGUAC